rnacentral:lncRNA from 1 species
AACAACAACAACAGAAGCACCAGCGGCAACCAGAACAAGAACAACAAAAACAAAAACAACGACGACGAUGGCGACGACACCAAUGAUGACUACGACGACGACGACGAAAACGAUGGGAACAACUACAAGGACGAGAACAACGACAAUAAUGACAACAACAACAACAAUGACAAUGACAACAACAAUGACAACAACAACAACAACAACAAC